CUAUUAACAUUUUGAUGCAUUUAUUUUGGUUUUUCUUAUGAGUAGAGUUCAUUACAAUGAAUUUUUAAAAAUAUAUAACAUUUAAUUGAGUCUGCCACUUCCUUUAACAUUCCUCCAUGAGAACACUUUUCUCACUGUAAUGUCAUUUAUUUACUCAUACUUUUUAAUACUUCUAGAUUAAACUGCAAAGGUUAGGAGGAAGGGGAAGAUGUGUUACUCACACAGUAACCUAAUUUUGGCACUGGAAUCCAAAACUGAGAGUCAAGUUCUGAUGCGCCAACACUGCAAGGCCCAGGAAUCUAGCUAGGUGUCUGUCUCUCUACUACCAGGGCUUACCCCAGAAUCUGGCGUGUAGUAUGUAUACAAUGGAUAUUGUUGGUUGCUUGAAUAAAAGAAUGGAUGGAUGGAUGGGUGAAUGUGGAUUUUUAUAUAUUAUUAUUAUUAUUCACUCAAAAUUUUUGAGUCCCAGCCAAGUGCCAGUUCUGGGCUAGACAAAGGGGACGUAAGUAGCUGUGUUUGAUAUAAAGUCCACCUCUCAAAGGCACCCCUGUAAGAGUGCUGACACCGGCUGCUGUAGGAUAGGGUUCCCAUGAGUGCAGAGCCCAGGCAGCGCUCUUUGGCUUGUGCUCCUAGCUUCUCUGGUGGGACUCUGUCCCCUGCAGGCUUUCUUUUAUCUGAAGACAGAGAAAAGACUAUUUUUCCAGGGAAUACCAUUCCUGAACUCCUCAAGAUGCUCCAGGUCCUGCAGCAGAAACACCUGGUCUUGGACCUGCCUUCCCCAGGGCCUCCCUUCACUCCCUGCUUCCUGCCAACUUGUCCCAGUCCAGUGGCAGACAUGCUGUAGGAGGGUACCUCAAUGGAGUGAGACUGGAGGGGAGAGGGGGUCACUGCUCCCUCAGAUGAGAGCAGCCUUUGACAGCCCCUCCAGAUGGCCCAACUGGAAAUCCCAGAUAAGCCCAGUUCUGGUCAAAACUGGUUUGGCAACUCUGGGGUAAUGUUUCUGGCUGACUGACCCUCUCCACAGCAGGAGCUGGCAGUUUUGCAAAAAAGAAAAAGAAAAACCGGGGGUAGGGGUGGGGGCGGCUAAAUUAAAACACUCCAAACUUCUGUUCACUUGCAAGUGCAAGUUUACACUUUGGGAUUCAACAAGAUUGCCGCCACCCCCAUCCUCACCCGGCAUUCUCCCUCUCACUCACUCUCCUCGCCUUUGCCAUGCAGUUUGUUGCAACGCGAUUCGUUUAGCAGCGCGAUUGUGGAAGCAAAAUAAUCCCACCCGCAGCUCGACUUUUAGUCCCCCCAUUUGGUCUGCAAUGCGAUUGUUAUUAUUACUGCAACUGAAUCUCGCAGCCCUGUCUCCUCCCCACUGAAUCGCGCUCCGGCUGUGAUUGCUCGGGUCUGACUUUGCGAGUGGCGGUGCGCUUCCAAACCCCCCUCAAGCACCCCUCGUCCCCCUUUCCCCCCUCCCUCCCUAUUCCGCGCCCAGGCGAGAGCAGCCGAUUGGCAGAGCUGUGCUUUCAGGAACAAUAACAGUGGGGGGAGCCUGGGUCCCGGGGAGCCGCCCCCGCCCCCCAGCCCGGCCGCGCGCUCGCGCCCCCACCCCGGGUCCCCACCUCCGCGCCCGCCCCGCGAGCCGACCGGCCGACCGGGGCCCGCCCCCGACGCCCACCAUGUACGCCUUUGUGCGGUUCCUGGAGGACAACGUCUGCUACGCGCUGCCGGUGUCGUGCGUGCGCGACUUCAGCCCCCGCUCGCGGCUGGAUUUUGACAACCAGAAGGUGUACGCCGUGUACCGGGGCCCGGAGGAGCUGGGCGCCGGGCCGGAGAGCCCCCCGCGCGCCCCCCGCGACUGGGGCGCGCUGCUGCUCCACAAGGCCCAGAUCCUGGCGCUGGCAGAAGACAAAUCUGACCUUGAAAACAGUGUGAUGCAGAAGAAAAUAAAAAUCCCCAAACUUUCUCUUAAUCACGUAGAAGAAGAUGGGGAGGUUAAAGAUUAUGGGGAAGAAGAUUUACAGCUUAGACACAUCAAGAGACCUGAGGGGCGGAAGCCGAGUGAGGUGGCGCACAAGAGCAUCGAGGCAGUGGUGGCCCGGCUAGAGAAGCAGAACGGCCUGAGCCUGGGCCCCGGCACAUGUCCAGAAGAGGUCUUCGUGGAGGCCUCACCGGGCACAGAGGACAUGGACAGUCUGGAGGAUGCUGUUGUGCCCCGGGCUCUGUAUGAAGAGCUGCUGCGUAACUACCAGCAGCAGCAGGAAGAGAUGCGCCAUCUCCAGCAGGAGCUGGAGCGGACUCGGAGGCAGCUGGUGCAGCAGGCCAAGAAGCUCAAGGAGUACGGGGCACUUGUGUCCGAAAUGAAGGAGCUUCGCGACCUCAACCGCAGACUCCAGGACGUGCUGCUCCUGCGGCUUGGCAGCGGUCCUGCCAUUGACCUGGAAAAAGUAAAGUCAGAAUGUCUCGAGCCCGAACCGGAGUUACGGAGCACUUUCAGUGAGGAAGCAAAUACGUCGUCCUAUUACCCCGCUCCUGCGCCUGUCAUGGACAAGUAUAUCCUAGACAAUGGCAAGGUCCAUCUGGGAAGCGGGAUUUGGGUUGAUGAGGAGAAAUGGCACCAGCUACAAGUAACCCAAGGAGAUUCCAAGUACACAAAGAACUUGGCAGUCAUGAUUUGGGGAACAGAUGUUCUGAAAAACAGAAGCGUCACAGGAGUCGCCACAAAAAAAAAGAAAGAUGCAAUCCCUAAGCCACCCCUCUCGCCUCACAAACUCAGCAUUGUCAGAGUGAUCUCCUCAUGGAUGUCCACGUGAUGUUGGCAGAACUUCCCUGCUAACUGCUGUCUUCUCUUCCACAAAGCCUCCUGUCUGUGCUGGGCUCCCUGUCCUGAGUGUUUGUAUGACAGAAUAGCACAGGAAACUGUGGAUGAAACUGAAAUUGCACAGAGACUCUCCAAAGUCAACAAGUACAUCUGUGAAAAAAUCAUGGAUAUCAAUAAAUCCUGUAAAAAUGAAGAACGAAGGGAAGCAAAAUACAAUUUGCAAUAAACUUUGGAUUUUUCAUAAA